UGCGUAGGUGGUCGUUUAAGUCCGUUGUGAAAGCCCUGGGCUCAACCUGGGAACUGCAGUGGAUACUGGACGACUAGAGUGUGGUAGAGGGUAGCGGAAUUCCUGGUGUAGCAGUGAAAUGCGUAGAGAUCAGGAGGAACAUCCAUGGCGAAGGCAGCUACCUGGACCAACACUGACACUGAGGCACGAAAGCGUGGGGAGCAAACAGGAUUAGAUACCCUGGUAGUCCACGCCCUAAACGAUGCGAACUGGAUGUUGGGUGCAAUUUGGCACGCAGUAUCGAAGCUAACGCGUAAGUUCGCCGCCUGGGGAGUACGGUCGCAAGACUGAAACUCAAAGGAAUGACGGU
rnacentral:rRNA from 1 species